UACAGAGGUCUCAAGCGUUGUUCGGAUUCAUUGGGCGUAAAGGGUGCGUAGGCGGCGCGGUAAGUCGGGUGUGAAAUCUCGGAGCUUACUCCGAAACUGCAUUCGAUACUGCCGUGCUUGAGGACUGGAGAGGAGACUGGAAUUUACGGUGUAGCGGUGAAAUGCGUAGAUAUCGUAAGGAAGACCAGUGGCGAAGGCGGGUCUC
rnacentral:rRNA from 1 species